CCCUAGGCUUUUAUAAAGGCCAUACACAAAAUAAUUUAAAAUUAAU
rfam:Corchorus olitorius cultivar O-4 contig13381, whole genome shotgun sequence.